UCUAAAUUAAAAAAAACUUAAGAUUUUGGUUAGCAUCCCAUCUACACAUCAGUUUGGAAGGAAGUAAGAGGUUAACACUAAUGAGUCUUCUGAUUCACGAACGUGGUAUUUCUCUCCAUUAACGUGGGCCUUCCUGACUUUCAGUAAUGUUUGGGAGUUGUUAGUGUAGAAGCCUUAGACAUCUUCUGUCUGAUUUAUCUCUAAGUGUCACAUUUUUAAAUGCUGCUUCGGAUUUUUUUAAAGAUUUUAUUUCAAAGUAAUCUUACACUGAAUGUGGGGCUCGAACCCACAACCCCAAUACCAGAGUCUCAUGCGCCUCUGUCCAGCUAGGCACUCCCAGACGGCAUUUUAAAAUGUUCCAUUUGUGUGUUGCUAUUACAUGGGAACACGCUGAGCUUUUCCUUAUUGGUCUUGCGUCCUGCUUAUCUGCUCAGCUCACACGGUAUUUUUAUGCAUCUCACAGAAGACCGCGUUGCCUGUGAAUAAAGACAAUCGCACACUUCCUUUUCCAGUCUGGAUGCCCUUUAUUUCUCCUCCAUGACUCGGCCCUGGCUGGCCCUGCAGUAUGACUCUGAGUUGAUGCGGUGCGGCUGAAGGGCCUUGCCCUGUUCUUGAACUUGGGGGAAAGCAUUCCGUCUUUCCCCAUUACGCACGAUGUUGGCUAAAGGUGCUCUUCGUUCUCAUCGUGGCAGAAUAAAAACAUAAAGAUGUAGCCAUCGACCCAUUUUUCAGCGCACAACUCAGCGGCAUCCAGAACAUUCACAACAUCACCACAUUUAUUUCCACCACAUUUAUUGCCAAAUUUUGUACGUCACCACAAACGAAACCCUGUCCCCACCAAACCAAAACUCCUCAUUCCCCCUCCUCCAGCUCCUGGUAACCUCUAAUCUACUUUCUGUCCUAUGAAUUUCCUUAUUUUAGAUAUUUCAUGUAAGUUGUACAGUGUCUGUCCUUUUGUAUCUGGUUUCUUUCACUUAGAGUAACUUUUCAAUGUUCUCCCACGUCAUAACAUGUAUCAGAACGUUACUCCUCUUUUUUUUUUUUUUUGUAAGAUUUUAUUUAUUUAUUUGACAGAGGGGGGGGAGGAAGCAGGCUCCCCGCUGAGCAGAGAGCCCGAUGCGGGGCUCGAUCCCAGGACCCUGAGAUCAUGACCUGAGCCGAAGGCAGAAGCUUAACCCACUGAGCCACCCAGGCGCCCCGAACUUUACUCCUCUUAUGGCUGCAAAACCUCCCCCUGCACGAACAGACCACAUUUCGCUUAUUCAGUUCAAAAUACUUCCUAACUUCCCUGCAGGUCCCCUUGCCAACAGGUUUUUAUUUGACCCAGGCUCUACAGGAUACACUCUUUAGUAUCCAGCUUCCAGAUCACGCACUUCCCAAAGCGCUGCUGGGGAAGCGGGCGCCGCCCACGACGAAGCCACGUGCUUCCGCUGCUUGGCCAGUGUCUGCUCGGGAUCCGUCUUUCUUGGUCUGCCAGGCCAGCUCCUGCCACUUGUUCAUGCACUUUUCUGCUUCCAAAACACAGUGCUCAUUCUCUCUGUCCUUGUGGGUGUUCUUAUUUUUAUUGUGGUAAAAUAAACACUAGAUAAAAUUUACCACUAUAACCAUUUAUCCUUGUAGAGUUGAAAGGCAUUAAGUGCAAUCACUGUGGAGUGACUAGCAGCACCCUCCACCUCCAGAACUUCUCAUCAGGCCAAGUGCAAAUACCUGCCCUUCCCCUCGCCCCGGCACCCACCAUUCUUUUCGGCUUCCAUGAACAAGGAUAUCCAAGGCCCUCUUAAGAGUGGACUCAUAACAGCACCUUUUUCUGAACUGGCUUAUUUCACUGACCAUAAUGUCCUCCAGUUUCAUCCAUGUUGUACAUGUGUUAGAAUUCCCUGCAUUUUUUUAGGUUGAACAAUACUGCCUUGUAGGGACGGAGCACCUUCCGUUUAUCUGCUCAUCUACUGAAGAACACUUGAGCCGUGCCCCCCCCCCCCUUAGCUGUUGUGAAUCUGAGUGUAUAAAUAUCUAUCUGUUCAAGUCUCUGCUUUCAAUUCUUUUAGGUAAAUACACAGAAGUGGAGUUGAUGAUUCUACGGUAAUUCUGUGUUUCAUUUGUGAGGAGCUGCCAAACUGUUUUCCAAAGUGGCUGCACCAUGGCACAUUCCCUUGUUGCUGUUUUUCCCUCUCUCCUUAAAAAAAAAAAAUUCCUCCCUGUUCAUUUAGCAGGACUUCAGAGUAGAGUCCGAAUAAAUUAUGUGUUCCAUCUGA